AUCUAGCUGACGAGUCCCAAAUAGAACGAAUCUCACGUCCCGGAU
rnacentral:hammerhead_ribozyme from 1 species